UAGGCAACCCAAAUGCGGACGUUAAACCCGUACAAAAAUCUCUCCCUAUUUACUAUCUAGCGAAAACACAGCCAAGGGAACGGGCUUAGAAAAAUUAGCGGGAAAAGAAGGCCCUGUGGUCUUGACUCUAAUCUGGUAGUGUAACGAGACAUAAGAGGUGUAGAAUAAGUGGGAGAUAUUGUUCUUUCGGGUUCAUUAUCGCAAAUGAAAUACUAGUACUCUUAUUGUUUCCCUACUUGUUUUGUGAUUAAGUGGAACGUGUAUCAUUACUUAGCCAUUAUAUGGAUAUUGAUCAAAGUACUAAAGAGUUUGUUAUAUAAUUGUAAACGAAUUUUAAUGAGAUUGUUUGGCGAUGCUUAUUCAAUCAAUAUUUAGAAUUGGGUAUAACUCCCAAUACUCAGGUGUGAUCCAAUUUAAUAGCAUUAGCAGAUAGGGAGUUUAACUGGGGUGGUACAUCUCUCAAAUAAUAAAGCUGUCCCAAGGCUAGCUCAGAAACCACACAUAGAGCAAAAGGGCAAAAGCUGACUUGAUCCCGUUGUUCGGUACACACAGGGACAACAAAAGCUCAGCCUAUGGUUUGAGAAGUUUUUAAAAGUUUUUACCGCAGGGAUAAGUGGCUUGUGACGACCAAGCAUUCAUAGCGACGACGCUUUGCGAUCCUUUCGGCUCUUCCUAUCAUUGUGAACCAAAAUUCCCCAAGCGUUGCAUUGAUCACAGAUGCAAGGGAACGCGAGCUGGGUUUAGACUGUCGUGGGACAGGUUAGUUUUACCCUAUUAAUGGAAAUAUAUUGUUACGACAGCAAUCCUGUGUAGUAUGGAAGGAACCGCAGUUAUGGACCAAAGCACAAUACUUACUCGAGCGAACAGUGGUAUGACGCCACGUCCGUUGGAUUAUGCCUGAACGCCGUUUAGGCGGUCGUAUCCGAGCUGGACUGCUACGAUAAAAAUGGGGCGAUUGCAUUGUAUGGCUUUUAAAGUUUAUGAUAAACGACAAUGAAAUGUGAUGACAAUGUUUUAUUGUAACAUAACAAAUGCAGGAGGAUAUUAUCACCUGUAUGCCGCGUUAGUUACAUUUAAAAACAUUAUUUAAUACAAUGGCAAUGCCUAGAAUCAAUUGUAAACGACUUUUGUAACGCGCAAAAUGUUGAAAGUGGUAGAGCAGCUGCCAUACUGCGAAGCUCAUGUUUAGUUUGACGAUUC
rnacentral:ncRNA from 1 species